UAAAGAAUCCACCUGCAAUGCUGGAAUCACAGGUUCAGUAUCUGGGUUAGCAAGAUCCCCUGGAGGAGGGCAUGGCAACCCACUCCAGUAUUCUUACCUGGAGAAUCCCAUGGACAGAGGAGCCUGGUGGGCUAUAGUCCAUGGG